GACGAACGCUGGCGGCGUGCCUAACACAUGCAAGUCGAACGAGCGGCGGACGGGUGAGUAAUGUAUGGGGACUGCCCGAUAGAGGGGGAUAACUACUGGAAACGGUGGCUAAUACCGCAUACUAUCGGAUAACCCAUAUGGGAUUAGCUAGUAGGUGGGGUAAAGGCUCACCUAGGCGACGAUCUCUAGCUGGUCUGAGAGGAUGAUCAGCCACACGGGGUCUGAGACACGGCCCAGACUCCUGCGGGGGCAGCGGUGGGGAAUAUUGCGCAAGGGGCGCAAGCCUGAUGCAGCCAUGCCGCGUGUAUGAAGAAGGCCUUAGGGUUGUAAAGUACUUUCAGCGGGGAGACGUUACCCGCAGAAGAAGCACCGGCUAACUCCGUGCCAGCAGCCGCGGUAAUUC
rnacentral:rRNA from 1 species